GCACCAGUUUCAGACUGCUCUGAAUGCUAGGUUCCCAACAGUUUUUUCUACUCUCAGCUUGAACUGACGUCAGAUCGUGACGGAUAUCUCCAUAUGGUCACCCGCUCCAUAAACAGCGACACCCCUGCCCGCCCGGUCUCUCUCGGAAAUUAGACCGCUCUGCUGUGCCUUGCUGCUCAGGACUACUCUCCAGGUUUUUGACAUUGUUCAGUAUGUCUCCCAGUGAUUUUUGGUUGUGUAGGAAAGCUAUAUUUGUAUGCCCUUGCUAAAGAAGAAAGCACCAGACAGCAGUGGAUACAGUUUUCAGGACAGACAAAUACCUCUGUGUAUGUUUGUUCACACCAGUUGACAGAGGACUGUUUUCUCAACCAAGCCAAGUGUGAAGCUGGAUUUUCGGCUAGGCUGCUGCUAAAAGACUGGGCUGUUCCAUCUAUAAAAGGCCUUGUUGAAGAGUCAGAAGCGCAAGCUGUUAGUAACAUUAUAUCAAUAUGUCUUGCCUGUGUUUGUCUUGUUUCAAUAUUCCGACCAAAUGGCUUAUGAAUGCGGUGUCAAUGCAGACAGUGGGCAUAUACACGUAGCUAAAGUUUUCUAUCUAGCUAACGGGGAUUUGCACAUAACAAUACAGACGUGCACCAAGCAGUCAGAUAUGUAAUAUACCAUUAUUUCAGCCAUGUUCGCUCAAAAACGGAGCGUUAUUUUCCUUACCAUCAAGGAUAAAUGUCACCAUCCCCCACAUGUUACCUGGCUGAUUGCAAAUUACAAGCAAUCCAGGUAACUGUAAUAACUUGCUAACAGAAAACAAUGAGGGAGAGGGAGGAAGAAGACGUUUAGAUGAAGAGUCAGAAGCACAAGCUGUGAGUAACAUUGUGUCACUGAAAUGUUUGUUGUAUGUUGAUAUUCAGACCACAUGGCUUAUGAAUACGGUGUCAGUGUGGAUAGUGGGCAUAUAAAGGUAGCUAAAGUUUUCUAUCUAGCUAACCGUAAUUUGCACAUAACAAUACAGACGUGCACCGAGCAGUCAGAUAUGUAAUAUGCCAUUAUUUCAACCAUGUCCGCUCAAAAACGUAUCAUUAUUUUCCUAACCACUGAGGAUAAGUGUCACCAUCCCUCACGUUACUUGGCUGAUUGCAAAAUACAAGCAAUCCAGGUAACUGUAAUAACUUGCUAACAGAAAACAAUGAGGGAGAGGGAGGAGGAAGACGUUUAGAUGAGGAGUCAGAAGCACAAGCUGUGAGUAACAUUGUGUCACUGAAAUGUUUGUUGUAUGUUGAUAUUCAGACCACAUGGCUUAUGAAUACGGUGUCAGUGUGGAUAGUGGGCAUAUAAAGGUAGCUAAAGUUUUCUAUCUAGCUAACCGUAAUUUGCACAUAACAAUACAGACGUGCACCGAGCAGUCAGAUGUGUAAUAUGCCAUUAUUUCAACCAUGUCCGCUCAAAAACAUCAUUAUUAUAGUAUAAUUAUUUUCCUAACCACUGAGGAUAAGUGUCACCAUCCCCCACGUUACUUGGCUGAUUGCAAAAUACAAGCAAUCCAGGUAACUGUGUUAACUUGCUAACAGAAAACAAUGGGGAAGAGGGAGGAAACCUCCAAAUGUCUGCAGCUGUUUAUUUUACCGGUGGAUCCUUCACUCAGGUGGAAAAGAUAUUGGAGAGACUGCUGCAUGUACAUAAAAGUAUGAAAUUUGUUUCAUACUAAAAUAUUUAUAACAUUUGAUCUGCUAUGUUUUUCGUACUCAAAGCCAUGAAUGUCCAGGUGUUCAAAUAUAACAUUUUCAGGAGGCAUGCCAGGAAUCUUCUGGAACCAGCAAUAAACCAUAAAUGGAAGAAGGAUCAGCAGAUACUGUUUCGGCAUCUGACACAGAAGGGAAAAAUCGCAGUGGGUGGAGAUAUGAGGGCAGACUCACCAGGACACUUCAGCAGCUACACCCUCACGCACCUUGAGAGCAACAACAUUGACAUUCAGCUUGUACAGUAAAUCACUAGAGCAACAAGGUUGGUGGAAAAAGAAGGACUCAAAAGAGACCUAGAUCUUCUGGAGGCAAUCCAUCUGAAUGGAUUACAUUAUGACUGACUGCCAUACACAGGUUCAGAAAUUUCUGAGGGAGCGUAAGGUCAUCCAAUACUAUGACGUUUGGCACUUUGAGAAGGGUUUGUCCAAAAAGUUGGUAAAACUGGCCAAGAACAAGGAGUGUGUGGUGUUGUGCAAGUGGUUGCCUAGCAUCAAAAACCACAUUUAUUGUACAGCCACAUCUUCUAAGUCUGGACCAGAGAAGGUUGCAAAAUGAAAGUCCCUUAUAAACCACAUUCAGAAUGUCCACACACAUGAAGAUCCGCUCUUCCCCAAGUGUGCUCAUCCUGACAGAGUCUAAAUGGACCCCAGCAAGUGGUUUCAAUCAGGUUCAGUGGCCCUAUACAAAGUGAAGAAACUCCUACUGAACAAACAAGUUCUCCGUGAUGUGGAAAAACAUGGAGUCAUGACCACCAAACUUCAUCACUGGAGGCCCUCCACAGUGUCAUUUUACGCUUCGUGCUGGAAAAUGUGGUUUUCCCUUACAUUGGAAUGCUGUGCAGGCUGUACCUGGCUGACAUGCAUUUCAACGAGAAUGCAGAGCGAGGACAAGCAGCCACUUCUGAGGGCAAAGCUGUCUACAAGAUUAUGUUCCCAAAGUCCAAGAAGGGAGAAUGCACAGCAAAGCCUGUUAAGACGAAGCCAACAUUCAAAUAUGUGAGUAACCUGAUAUAGUUUCUCUUUGAGGAAGUUUUGGAAGACCCCACCAGAUACACUGGGGAACUCAAACAAAUCCCCAUCCCAGAGGACCUCUGUACACAGUUUGAGAGACCUUCAAAGGGGGACAUCAUCGCCAGACAUGUCUCACGUUUCAGUCGAGGGGUGGCUGGAACCCAACACAGUGGCCACCAGGAUCAGGAAACUCCUGGCGUAUACGGCACACACGACGGGAUGACAACCCUGACCUGUCUUCCAAGGUAUCCCCAACACCAGCUAACAAAACUGCGGUAUGCGAGAUACCUGUAACAUCUGAAAGACAGAGAAGAAGACAUCCUCAUCACAGGAAAUGGUGACUGUAUGGCUUGUUAGCUGUAUUUUUUGUGUUAUAUAGAUUUGCUGAUUCCAGUGAAGGACAUUUAUAAAUGCUAGAAAUUAUGACCUAUGAGUCCCAGGGAACAGGAUACUGAUAUUGACCACAUUUGUUUGUAUUUUUUUUUAUAUAGUAUAAUGAACACAGUGUGCACUUUAUGUCUUGUAAAUAAACCACUUUAUUUUUCUUGUGUUAAGUGAUUUAUUGUUUUGAAAUUUGGGAUCAUGUGUUUGUACAUGUGGAGGAAGAAAAUUGAUUGCAUGUUAUAACAACUUUUAUAAUGAGAUGAAAAACUUACUCUUCCU